GGAGACUCAGGCCAAACCCCUGGCAAGCCGAGCGGUAGAUUGCUUUCGGGCAAUUGAGAGCGGCGCACGGGUGCGGAACACGUGUGCAACCUGCCUUUAUCUGGGGGAUAGCCUUUCGAAAGGAAGAUUAAUACCCCAUAAUAUAUUGAUUGGCAUCAAUUGAUAUUGAAAACUCCGGUGGAUAGAGAUGGGCACGCGCAAGAUUAGAUAGUUGGUGAGGUAACGGCUCACCAAGUCAAUGAUCUUUAGGGGGCCUGAGAGGGUGAUCCCCCACACUGGUACUGAGACACGGACCAGACUCCUACGGGAGGCAGCAGUGAGGAAUAUUGGACAAUGGGUGAGAGCCUGAUCCAGCCAUCCCGCGUGAAGGACGACGGCCCUAUGGGUUGUAAACUUCUUUUGUAUAGGGAUAAACCUUUCCACGUGUGGAAAGCUGAAGGUACUAUACGAAUAAGCACCGGCUAACUCCGUGCCAGCAGCCGCGGUAAUACGGAGGGUGCAAGCGUUAUCCGGAUUUAUUGGGUUUAAAGGGUCCGUAGGCGGACUUGUAAGUCAGUGGUGAAAUCUCAUAGCUUAACUAUGAAACUGCCAUUGAUACUGCAGGUCUUGAGUGAGGUAGAAGUAGCUGGAAUAAGUAGUGUAGCGGUGAAAUGCAUAGAUAUUACUUAGAACACCAAUUGCGAAGGCAGGUUACUAUGUCUUAACUGACGCUGAUGGACGAAAGCGUGGGGAGCGAACAGGAUUAGAUACCCUGGUAGUCCACGCCGUAAACGAUGCUAACUCGUUUUUGGGCUUUAGGGUUCAGAGACUAAGCGAAAGUGAUAAGUUAGCCACCUGGGGAGUACGUUCGCAAGAAUGAAACUCAAAGGAAUUGACGGGGGCCCGCACAAGCGGUGGAUUAUGUGGUUUAAUUCGAUGAUACGCGAGGAACCUUACCAAGGCUUAAAUGG
rnacentral:rRNA from 1 species